GACCCGCAACGCUGGCGGAGUCGAAAAUCUGUUCACGACAAAUUGAUACUGCCUGGAUUCGUACGAACCGGGACGGAUGG
rnacentral:ncRNA from 1 species